rnacentral:rRNA from 1 species
CGCGAAUAGCUCAUUACAACAGCCGUGUUUCUUGGAUCUCCGAACUUACUUGGAUAACUGUGGUAAUUCUAGAGCUAAUACACGCAAUCGAGCUCCGACCUUGCGGGACGAGCGCAUUUAUUAGAACAAAACCAAUCAGUGCUUGCACUGUGGUUUAGUGAAUUUGGAUAACUGAGCAGAUCGCUUCGGUCUCAGCACCGGCGAUGUAUCCUUCAAGUGUCUGCCUUAUCAACUUUCGACGGUAGUUUAUGUGCCUACCGUGAUUGUAACGGGUAACGGAGAAUUAGGGUUCGACUCCGGAGAGGGAGCCUGAGAAACGGCUACCACUUCUAAGGAAGGCAGCAGGCGCGCAAAUUACCCACUCCCGGCACGGGGAGGUAGUGACAAAAGAUAACGAGAUGGUUCUCUUAUGAGUACCAUCAUCGGAAUGAGAACAAUCCAAACCCUUUAACGAGGACCUAGCGGAGGGCAAGUCUGGUGCCAGCAGCCGCGGUAAUUCCAGCUCCGCCAGUGUAUAUCUAUGUUGCUGUAGUUAAAAAGCUCGUAGUUGGAUCUGCGUGCUAGAAGCCGGUCCGCCCUUUGGGUGUGCACUGGACUUCAGCACUGAAUCGGCAGUUUUCUCUUGAUGCCCUUCACCGGGUGUCCUGAGUGACUGGCAGUUUUACUUUGAAAAAAUUAGAGUGCUUAAAACAGGCGUUUCGCUUGAAUAUUUGUGCAUGGAAUAAUAGAAUAGGACCUUGGUUCUAUUUUGUUGGUUUUCGGAACACAAGGUAAUGAUUAAGAGGGACAGACGGGGGCAUUCGUAUUGCGACGUUAGAGGUGAAAUUCUUGGAUCGUCGCAAGACGCACUACUGCGAAAGCAUUUGCCAAGAAUGUUUUCAUUAAUCAAGAACGAAAGUUAGAGGUUCGAAGGCGAUCAGAUACCGGCCC